AACGUGUUUCUCACGUGAUUAAGAAGAUUCACCAACACUCCCCAAACGUCAGCACACCUUACAAGGUGACCCAGCAGGCGCCUGGCCGACCCAGAGCCGCACCGGGGGACUGAAUUUCUCAGACUUUAUGGUUAACCUCGGAACAGCGGGAAAGUGACGGGACCCGACCCCCACCCACGAAGCUGAAACUCCAGUAUAACUUCUGACGCCCCAAAGAGCCUGAAUGAUCCAAUUAACACGUAUUUUGUGUGUAUUAUAUGCUGUAUUCUUACAAAAAAGCUACGGAAAAGACAAUGGUUCCGGCCUUGGGCUCCCCAAGAGGAAUGGCUGCAAGACCACCAGCCCGCCCCUCCCUGCUCUGCCGUGGCCGGCUCCAGAGGGCUUCUGGUUCUGCCCCUAGUGCUGUCUGUACAAUCUCCCGCCUGGGACCCGCGCCGUCUCGUGAGCUCACAACUAGCAACAACCCUCCAAACCGGGGCCACGACACGCAGGGCUUGAAGGGUUCACUCGGCCAGACCGCCAGGGCGCUUCGUGCGGCUUUGUUCACGUGGUGGCUGCACAUUGGGUGAUACUUGUUUUGAAAACAUUUUCAGGCUUAAAGCUUUGGAGCCACAGUUCAUGAAACAGGAGCUUUUAGGACUAAGACCCGGAAGUCGCAAACAAAUGAAGACGCCUGGUCGCCUCCCGCUGCAGCGGCGGCCACACAGCCAGGACCCAGGGAAAGUUCUAGCCCUCUCUGUCUCCAGAGCUGAUGGCUGCGGCAUGCAGUGCUGCUCCAACCGCACCCGGGAAGGAGCCGGCUUUAACCGUCCCCAGUCCGCAGGGGACUGGUGCUCUCAUCAAGUGCCAUAAAACAGGCGACUAAAAAAAUGAAACCAAAAAGGACAUACAAAAUACGAGCCUCAAUUCUUUAUUAUUUUCAAGAGAAAUAAAAUUUCUCUGCUAGUUGCUUA